AGAGCAUUCUCCGAGUCGAACGAUCGAAGUACCAAUUCAAAAAUCGACUCACAGAAGAAUCGUUCUAGAAACCAGUUGCCAAAUGAAUUUCGUGGUGAAUCCACGGAUUCAACGCGUUGUCCACAGGGUCACCGAUCGCCGGAGCUUCCAAAUUGCUCGAAAGCAAUGACGAUAAAAAGAUUGAUUUAAUUACGAAGAAUUAUCCUAGCAAAUCACGAAUAAUCAAUUCUAAUGGAAUCUGCCUGCAUGACGAAAGAACAAGUAAUAUUAUAGGAAACGCUAAAAAUUCUGAUGGCAGUGAACGCGUUAAUCGUGGCCGUGGCAAACAAUGGCAGCCGGCGGUAAACGUGUUUACAACGUCCACCGGGGCAAUUUUUUCUGAGCGGUAGGGCAGUCCUGGUGUAUAAAACAGCAGUAAGCAUCCAGCAUCUCUCCACUGCGAGAGUGUGCUCGUUGCCGCGAGUACAGCUCGAACUUCCGUGGAAGAAGGCGAGGAAAAAGAGCAGAAAGAUAAAAACAAAAGGGAGCACCGGUCGAAUAUCCGGCGGGGAAGAAAUCGUCGGCGUCGGUCGGAUACCGGGGUACAAAGUGGCGUUCGCCAGCCGAAGGGAAGCAAGUGUCGCAAAUGGGCUUGCUCGGGAAGUGUGAAGUUUGAAAGUGUCCGUAAGUUUUUAAGGUAGCAGCGAACGUAGCCAGCAAAGAUGAAGAUUCUGUUGAUGGUUCUGAUGUUGAUCGUCGCCGCGACCGCUGCCCCGUGGUUUGACGUUCUAUUCGGUCGAUCGGGUUACGAUUACCGGGUGCCGAGGCAAGGAGGGCAAAGAGGAAAUCACAGGUGGAAGGAAAUCUGCAGGACGAUAAAUCCAGACCCGUACGCGUUCCCGGGCAAAGUUCCUUAUCCCGCUGUGCCGGCUUGCCCCUGGUGAUCAACCGGAACGGAUAAUAUUGGGAGUGAUCGGUAAUCGCACAGGUCCCUGGCCGCCCUCCUCGGAGUUUCUUGUUCGGACGCUGCUUCCUCCAACGGAUGACGGCGUGGGCCCGCCACCAGCCAGAACUUCCAGUACCACGUUCGUUCCGUCUAUUAAACGUUGCCUGAAAACGCAACGGGAAUGCUUUAUCCAUGACGUAAUCUGUGCCAUGUGACAAACUUGUAUAUGGGUAAAUUAUAUAUUGUACAUAAAAUAUGUA